UACAGAGGUCUCAAGCGUUGUUCGGAUUCAUUGGGCGUAAAGCGCGCGUAGGCGGCUCGGAAAGUCGGAUGUGAAAAUCCAGGGCUCAACCCUGGACCUGCGUUCGAUACGGGCAGACUAGAGUUCGGUAGGGGAGACUGGAAUUCCUGGUGUAGCGGUGAAAUGCGCAGAUAUCCGGAGGAACACCGGUGGCGAAGGCGGCUUCCUGGACCGACACUGACGCUGAGGCGCGAAAGCUAGGGGAGCAAACGGG
rnacentral:rRNA from 1 species